GUAGUCAGUGAUGAUUCUGUUUUAAAGUUUGCCUGAUUUCAUCAAGGAAGAUGAAGGCAACUCUUAAGUCACUACCUCUUCUGAGACAC